GACGAACGCUGGCGGCGUGCCUAAUACAUGCAAGUCGAGCGGACUUGAAGGAGUGCCUGCCCUCCCGAGAGUUAGCGGCGGACGGGUGAGUAACACGUAGGCAACCUGCCCUCAAGACUGGGAUAACUACCGGAAACGGUAGCUAAUACCGGAUAAUUUAUUACAUAGCAUUAUGUGAUAAUGAAAGACGGAGCAAUCUGUCACUUGGGGAUGGGCCUGCGGCGCAUUAGCUAGUUGGUGGGGUAACGGCCCACCAAGGCGACGAUGCGUAGCCGACCUGAGAGGGUGAACGGCCACACUGGGACUGAGACACGGCCCAGACUCCUACGGGAGGCAGCAGUAGGGAAUCUUCCGCAAUGGGCGAAAGCCUGACGGAGCAACGCCGCGUGAGUGAUGAAGGUUUUCGGAUCGUAAAGCUCUGUUGCCAAGGAAGAACGUCUCAUAGAGUAACUGCUAUGAGAGUGACGGUACUUGAGAAGAAAGCCCCGGCUAACUACGUG
rnacentral:rRNA from 1 species